UUCUACCAAAAUAAUUUAAAAUUUUAAUUAAUUAAAGAAAAGAAAAAGAAAAAAAUAAAGAAAGCAAUAUAUUUUUGGUCUUAUUUUUUUUAGAAUUAGGCCAAUUUCUAAAAUGGCCCAACUACUUUUUAAGACCUAAAUCUCCUCAAACCCAUUACCACAUACUAAAACCCUAGACUCAAAUUUAUAUAAUAUAACCUAGACUAGACCUGCACACAGAGAUACACAAAAAAACGCCUAAAUCCCGAAAGCUUAGACAAGCUUGAAAGUCAUCUACCACACGACAACCCAUCCUCCUCCAGCAAACACCGCCCGUCCCCAUCUCCCUCACUCACCUGAACCAGCCGCUGCUUCGUCUUCCUCACGUCAAACUCCGACGCUGCUGCUCGUCUUCUUCAACCCAUCGCUGCUCCUUCUUCUUCGUCGACUCCACUCCCUCACCUGAACCAUGCUACUCUUCUUCUUCACGACGACCUGGGCGGACAGCCACAGAAAGCGACCAGCAAAAGCCCAUCGCACAGCCAAACGACCACCCUGAUCUCCCGUCACCUGUUCGUCCACCACCAUCCUAGACACACAACACACACACAAACUGAGCCGCUCCUGUUCUUCUACACAAAGCCGAGAGCCUAAGUUCUUUUCGUGGUGCUGUUCACAUCCCCAUUUUUGUGAGGCUGUCCGGCCAAGCUCAGAUCUGGAAAACGAUUUGGUGUUCGAGGCUGCUGGUUUGAGGUCGUCGUUCCGUUGCCGAGUUCAGUCCCAUCGGGUCUCAGUCGUCGUUGAAGAGUCGAGUUUGUUCCGAAGAGGUUUGAUCGAUUUCGAUGGGAUUCCGGCGAAGCAGUUCGUUUUUCCGUUCGAGUUUUCUAGCUCCGAUGUCGAUUCGAGGUUCCGCAAUUUCGGCGGGUCAAGCUUAACUAUGAUCCGUGUCUUUGUUAAAUUUGGACGUUCGUUUUACAGGCGAUUUUGUACUGGUUUGGGCUUGAGAUUCUGCAAUUGUGGAAAUUCACAUGUUAAUGCUAUUUAUCUUUGUUUUGAGUAGUUUGUUUGAGUUUGUUUUUUUGUGAUGUUUGUGUUGUCUAUGUUAACAUCGAGCAUGGAGAUGAAAUGGACAGAAAUGGAAAUUGAGGCUGCAUAAAAUUUGAAAACCGUUGAUUUCACUAAUUAUAUCAUUAGAGUAAUUUAGUUUGAUGUAUUUGUUAUGAUUAAAUUUGGCGGCGAGGUUCCAGCUACUGUUGCAUUUUUUUCGUUCG
rnacentral:lncRNA from 1 species